GUCGUAGGGCGCGAGCGUUGUCCGGAUUUAUUGGGCGUAAAGAGUUCGUAGGCGGUUUGUCGCGUCGUCCGUGAAAACUUGGGGCUCAACCCCAAGCUUGCGGUCGAUACGGGCAGGCUAGAGUUCGGUAGGGGAGACUGGAAUUCCUGGUGUAGCGGUGAAAUGCGCAGAUAUCAGGAGGAACACCGGUGGCGAAGGCGGGUCUCUGGGCCGAUACUGACGCUGAGGAGCGAAAGCGUGGGGAGCGAACAGG
rnacentral:rRNA from 1 species